UUUUGGGUUGGUCAGUAUUUUUCGCGACCUGUGUUUUGGGCAUUGGAUUUUGGUGCCAUAUUAAAGUGCACUUUUCCCUGUGGAACUCUCUGCGCCUGAUUCUUACCUCACACUGUCACGACUUCUACCGAAGAAAAACAGAACUGCCGUGUUGACAAGCUGCAGAGGCGUGCCAUUUGGAGUGACGAUUUCCAGUUUGGUAGAGAGUCAACUGUGAGGUCAGCAGACAACAGCAGACAACAGACAACCUGGGCAGAUGGCACUGCCCUGCAGACAACCUGGGCAG